UUUGUAACUCAGACAAAAACGUUUUAAAUUUUUGUGAAAAAAGGAACAAUUGAAAUAAACCUAAAUAUUUUUUUUUUUAAUAAAAAAUCUAUAAAAUGAAAACAUUUUGUUCCUGCCGCUUAAUAUUUAUAAUAAUUAUAAUUUUUAUAAUUAUAAUAAAUUUAACUGAAACCAAAUCCUUAAAUACCUUCCCACCCCUAUAUAAUUUUGAUGAUUAUGAUGCAUGUCUUAAUAGUAAAACUUCAAAAUUUGAAUCCACCUAUUGUAUGGUUUAUGCCGAAAUACGACCACAAAAUUCCUCCGAAUUAUGGCGACAAAUUUCCCAACACAAUGAUGAAUAUAAAUUCCAUUAUAGACGUGAUCGUCUAUUCUUUGGAGUUUGUAUGGAACGUUUGUAAAAAUUUCCCCAUGUUAUUGGAUAAUAAUUAUCAAUAUAAUGAUAGUAGAUUGACAAAUAAGAUUACACAAUUCUUUGAUAUGAUCCAUAAACGUCCGCUUGAUCUGCAAAUGCGCUCGGAAUAUCAUGAAUUGGUACAUAACUGUUUAAAUUCAGAAUUUCAAGAGAAAUAUGGCGCAGAUUUAAGAACGUAUAUUGAGUAUUGUGAGAGAUCUGAGGAAACUAUUGAAAAAGAUACGCUGGAGAAAGUCUUUUACAAACUUCUACAAAUAAUUGUUAUUCUAAAUAUUCUAUCAACUCUUUACGACUCAUGUUUGAAGAGACGACAACCUGUGGAACUUCAAAAUGCCGAUUAUUAUAAAGUGAAUCCUCAACAGCCAGUCUCUACCCUUUUAACAGCAUUCUCCAUACGUCGCAACUACUAUCGUCUCGUUGAACCCUCUACUAGUCAAUUGGGCAUGGAUCUUAGUUAUUUAGAUGGAAUACGUUCAGUAUGUGUUAUUUUAAUAAUUGCCGGCCCAUGCGUAUUUCAUACAAUAUCAUCAUGUGAAAAAUUCGGAAAUUUUUGAAGAAUUUGCCAAAAGUCCUAUACAUUUAUGGCUAACGAAUGGUACAAUACUAUUAGAGAUUUUUUCAUAUUCUAAGCGGUAUGAUGUUGUAUCUUAAAUUUAAAGCAUUUUUUAAAAUCACUUCACACUCGAGCGUCCGAUAUUGUUUUAAAGGCUUUCGGUAAAGUGAUGAUGUUUCGUUUUAUUAGAUUUCUUCCCUCAUUGGUCCUAUUUAUAUUAGUAAAUGCUACUUUCUUUACUCGUCUACAAGAUGGUCCAUUUUGGCGUCAUUUAAGCGAACCGGCUCGCUUAUUUAGUCGUGAGAAAUGGUGGAAAAAUUUGUUUAUUAUUGAUAAUAUUUCGGAAAGUGGAUUUGCUCAUACCUGGUAUUUAACAACCGAUUGGCAAAUAUUCGCCUUUUAUGUUUGUGUGCUGAUCAUAAUAAGCAAAUAUCCACAGUACAAAAGAGUAGUUCUAACUUCCUUGGCAAUUUUAUCGGUUCUUAUACCCUUUAGUAUAUGUUAUUUCUACAAAACAGAUCCAUGUUUUCUAAUAUCACCAGAAAGUUUUCGCUUUAUACAUGUCAAAGAUGAAGAAGCCUUUCACAAAUUAUAUACACCAUUCUAUACGAAUUUAGGCGGUUAUUUAUUUGGCAUAAUUUGCGGUGAAUUUUAUGAAAAAUAUUGUCAUAAUGUUGAUUUUCACAAGCAAUUAUCUCGUAUACCCAGCGAGAUAUUUGAAUUUGCCUUUUGGUCUUGUAUAGCUAUAGGUGUAUGGAUCUGUUGGCUGGGAACGGUUGUUUAUAUUUUAUGAACCAUCUAUAUGGACGGCUCUGUAUGCGGGUCUGAAUCGUAAUUUAAUUGUGAUAAUUGUCUUUGGCGGAUUAGUAUUUUUGGGCAUGUUUUGUAAAUCAUUAUCAGUUUCGGAACUUCUUUGCCAUUCAGCAUUUCGUUUACUGGCCAGAUUAUCAUUCCAAUUAUAUUUAUGGCAUUUUUUCCAUAUUGCACUUACUAAAUGGUCAUAAACGUGAACCGAUAUUUGUUAAUCACUUGCAGCAUGCGGUUAAUACAAUUGCUCUGAUGGUGUUUUCUCUUGGUGUGAGCAUUUAUUGGUUACAAUAGUUUUGAAUAUCCUUUACAUAAAGUUGCCUAUUAUUGUGCACAAAAAAGGGAAGAG